UACGGAGGGGGUUAGCGUUGUUCGGAAUUACUGGGCGUAAAGCGCACGUAGGCGGAUUAGAAAGUUGGGGGUGAAAUCCCGGGGCUCAACCUCGGAACUGCCUCCAAAACUCCUAGUCUAGAGUUCGAGGGAGGUGAGUGGAAUUCCAAGUGUAGAGGUGAAAUUCGUAGAUAUUUGGAGGAACACCAGUGGCGAAGGCGGCUCACUGGCUCGGUACUGACGCUGAGGUGCGAAAGUGUGGGGAGCAAACAGC
rnacentral:rRNA from 1 species